CAGAAGGUCCUGAGAUUUCCAGUGAACAGUUCCUGCUACCGAUAUUUUACCAUUAUUGCAUCGGUGGAAAAUUUUCUGCAAGUUUGAAAAAGAGGAACAUUUCUCUGUCACCAAAAGGGAUACAUUUCUUUGUGACCAUUUUGCUGUCACCAAAAGCUGGGUGGCAAGCAUGCUCGCAUUCAGAAUAAGAUCAAAGACCAUCUUUCCCCACCAAGAAUCUGCAUGUUUGUGGUAACUUGUUUUCUUAAUGGAAAUACUCUAAAAGUAAAAUACAGACUAUGCUGUCAGAUCAAUUCAUCCGACAGGUAACUGUAGCCAGCAAAGGACACCCCAAUCCAAAAAGUAUUUCACAAGAGGAGAGGUAAGUGACAAAAAUUGACCCAACAGGAGGAUGUAUGUGGACAGGAUGAGUUAAUGCUGCUAGUUAAGUAAUCACUUUGUCAUGUUUAUGCAAGUUACCUUUCUAGGUCUACGGUCUGUCACAAAUGUCGACAUUACGUCUGAGCAUGUCAUUUACGCUUCUUUUAUAGUCAGUGGGGAGGAACAGGUAUUUGUGGGUGUAAUUCUCCCCUAGGUAGACUUCUGAACUAUGUCAAUGAGCUGCACCUUAAAACUUUCUGUCCUCCACUGACACUAACAGGAGUCUGGGGCGAUAAGCUCAUAUUUAGAUGUCGACAUUGUCAAUAUCCAAGUGAUUUGAAUCUCUCCCAGAUUUGAAAGAAAUAUCCUUAGACUGAAUUUUCCAUAAAUAAAUCAUAGAUCUGGAAGUGGAAUAAUACACCAUCAUGAAGAAAAGCAAAAGGUUAGAUCCUUACAUAGAUUUAAACUGUUCUGAAAUUCCUCCUAAGAGUAACACAAACAUCGGACUAAAAAUCUCCAACAUUGUCCAGCGAUUGCAUAUAAACUAAAGAAAAAUUGUUACUUUUAAGUCUAUGAAACUGACCCUUCAUUUUACGGAGUAUUACUCAAACUACAUUUUCGUAUUCUGAAGUCCAGCAGCUGCUAACAAUUUUAAUUUGAAGCAACAUUUCUGUACAUACAAUUGGAAAGAAUCAGGCAUUAAUUCUGUCAAAUGCCUUUCAAAAAUUUACACCUGAAGCUCAAAUUUGAUAGUACACAAAUACCAAAUAAGCUAUAAUCUGAAGGACACAUAUUGACUUGUUUGUUGCAGCUGCUGUACUGUAACAUCAACCUUACUUAGCUAUGCUUUAGCUCCAGCUAGAUAGCAGCUCAGCCCAUUAGCUUGCUGUUUUUAUUUGCUAUCAUUCAUGCUGUGAAUAAACUAUAGCCCUGUAGCACAGCCAGGGAUAAAACUUAGUGCCCUUGCUUGCAUACUGAAGUGAGUGAAAAAAGAAAUGUUGACAAAUUACUUUAUUUUAAAAUGGGAUCUUUGCACUGGCAUCCUAACACUUGUUAUGUGAAUAAAUACUAUAGGCUGCUAAGUAAAAUUUAAAGAAGACAAUCUACCAUUCCAUCUAACUAAAAGUAAUAGUAAUGUUAGAGUUUACUCUUCCUAUUUAAGUAGCAUCCAAACUGUAUAAUCUGUUUUCCAGACAGAGAGGAAGAUGAAGAUCCUGCCUCACAGAAUGGCCCAUGCAUGUCUAGAUGUCCUGGAGGAAACUGCCGAAUGCUGCAGGGAACUAACAGAUAGGGUGGUGUUAUCCACCAGGGAGUCAGGACUUAGAGAUGUCCAAAGGAGAUUUUGCCUCCCUGCUCAGAGCCACAGACCACAAGCUAAUGUGAAACUGUGUUCACUUCAUAUACAGGCAUAGUACUCUGGAAAAUGGAAACUGUAGAUCUGCAAUAACAUGAUCUGGUUAUUUCAUAACUGAAUGCAUUCUUUCAAAAAAACCCACCCAAACAAACAAAAAGAAAUGAGCAACCCGCCAGCAACUUGUUAUUGAUCCACAGGAGAAACAGCUUUAAGAGUUACUCUAUUGUUGUGAAAUGAGACAGUUUGUUGCCAUCCUGGGCUCUAAUAAUUCAUGUACAAGGCUGGGUCGGAUCCCCAUAAUUCUAAUUCUUGUCAUAAUACCGCCUUUUUGGCGUGGAUUAAGAGACUUCUGAUGCUGCUUCACAAUCACCUUCCAAAGUGAAAUGAGACGUGCUUGCCCUGGUCAGUCUUUAUUUCAGUGCUGAUCAUGUGCUGGUGGUUUACCAGCAUGUAGUGCAGCUUAUCAUAUGUCACCAUAAUGAUCUCAUUAUUAUUCCCACCGGCUGGAACACUGCAAUAACGACACCUAAAAAGUCCCCAAGAGGCUCUACAAGAUCCAUGUAGAAGCAGUGUGAGUUAAACCCUCUGGGGAUGUCUGCCACAAAGGGAAAUUUCCUAGCAGCAGCCCCCGGAGAAGCCCUCAAAAUAUGUGCUAGAUCCCCAGUUUUAAGAGUGUAAGGAUACUCAUCCAUUUUAAGCUUUGUUUUCCUUAUGACAGGGUUGUACAUCAGGCCAACUGCUGGAGAGUUAAUGGCAGCUUUGUUGUGGGGGUUAAUAAGAUGGUUCAUAUGUUCCAUCAGUAUGGGCAGGGAUGGGUAAUAGCCUUUCUACAAAGUAUAUUGCCAUGCCUUACCCUGCAGCACUAUCUCAAGACAGCCUCUUUGCUGAUGUUACUUCAGCUAUGUGGGUGCUGUGUUUUUGUCAGCCCCACCUCCUGCUUGCCUGAGAGCUCCUGGAGCCUCACCAGCCAUAUGGGGAAGUUGGAGCUGGUUUUGUGGAAAGAUUCUGGCGCUGGCAUUGCUGGGCAGCAUGGUGUAGAAACUUCUGUCCACUCUUUUUCCUUUGCUUCACUCCGAAUCACUAGCUGUCCUGGACUUGGAAACUUCUAUCCAAAUGUUAACUUUCUGGGUCCAGCCAUACCACUUCACCAGCAGCUGUUUCUUCCUUUACCUUUUUGCAGCAAUCAUCUUCUCAAUUUUGUAGUGUCUGUCCUCAUCAGGAUUCACUUUUUGAAGUUCUUCAGGGUAAAAUGUCCCCUUGAUUGCUUCAUGACCAUUGUCUAUUAAGAGAUGCACCUGUCCCCUUCCGACAAUUUCAGAAAAUGUUAUCCCUGAGCAUCUGCUCAUAACCUUUCUCAGAUCUCUCUUUUGUUCUAGCCACCCUGAUGUUGUCUCGCUUUUUGAGCAGACUCUUUCAUUCCUAACACAUCCCCUUUUCCAAACCCUCAGAGGGUUGAGAGGGCUCACACCCGCAGGCCUGGCUCCCAGCUCUGCGGAAGCUGUGCCUCUAGCUCUUCUCCAACCCUGGUAACACAUCAAGGCAGCAAAAAUGUACUUCCGGGUAAACCAGAAGGUGGGGCUGGUCCUGCCAGCCAAUCACAGGGCAGCCACGUGGGCUGUAACCCGAACAAGAUGGUGACCCCCAGGGGCAAAAAGAGGGGGAAGUACACAGUCACGUGACCAGCAGGACUUCCAGGUGAGUGAGACAUGUGACUGCUGGGGGCGGAACUUCUGCCAGAAGUUGGGGGCGGGGCACACAGCACUUCCUGUCUUGGAUGACAGUUGCUCUUCGGGUCGCGUCGGGUUUAGGAGGCGGCUGGUGCCAGCACCGGCCUCUCGUCUGCAGCCGGCCCCUUCUCUGCCCCACAGCGAGGCAACUGGCCCACCUGAAUCGUUAGUGCUCCACUACAGCAGUAACGUGGAUCUUUUGUCUUGCUGCUCGCAUGUGCUGAUAUUAUUUCAUAAAACCUUCUUGUGAGGGGUUGGGGUAGAAAGUUUCCGUAAGGUAACAGUGGUGCUCUUUCAAUUUCAGAUUAUCCAGGAGAUCUUGGGGAAACUGCACCAGGACUGACUGAGCAGGGCUGUUAUCAAAAUACAUGUUUUCAUUCUGGAUGACUGCCUGCACUUCCUUAAACUGCUCCGAGCUUUUCAUUUAGUUGUUAGACUCCUUUCUGACAGGCAAGACAACCCCAGCUUUCAUCCAAGCUUUAGAGACAAGUGCUUGGAGGAAAGUGAUGGCUUGGAGGGAAUAUGCACUGUAAUUGCAUGGAAAUUGACCAAGGGAUCCAGCCAGUACCUGUGCAGAAUACGUUAAUACAAUUAUAAUAAAUAGAAGUUUGGUUUCAAACAGUAUUGGUUUGGGAUCCUGAGGCCCAUUUUGUAUGGGUAUGUGUAUCUUGGACAAGUACUGAUGACUAAUAAAUAGUACCAGCUGUUUUAAACCCAGUUCAAAAAAUCUCCUGGGAAAUAUGUCUAUGUGCUUUUGGAAUUUCCAUAAAAUCCCAUAUUGGACUUUAAUAUUGGACUUUAAAUGCUAGAACUGUAAAAGCAUCUUACUAGUCCUUUAUAUUAUGUGGUAACUUUAUAUUGUACUCAGUAAAUGUAUUUGAGUGUUCACUAAUAGCACAGACUUCAGUCUCCACUUUCAUAGAGUCUUCUUUAUAAACUUUUGUUUCCUUAUAUUUUUUAAGGCUAAACUUACUAACAGGAGCUGCAGAAGGAGGAAGUGAUACAGCAUCAACUUCUAGCUUAUUGAAAAGCAAGUGAUUUUAACUUCAGAAGUAAUUGGUGGGUGUCUUUCAUGGUUGGACUGAGUGAAAGGGAGUAUAAUUUAAGGAAUCUGAAAUCAGGUUUAAGUACUGAGAUUGUUUCUUAUUAAAGGAUAAUAAGAAAUUGGGGUAAGAAAAAAUACUGAUAGAUCUGAGGCAGCCCACAGCAUAAGAGCUGCCAGUUUCUGAAUGGAGACUAAGUGUUGCUUAUGUUUAAAGUGCAAAUUAAUUUCCUCUCUAGAGAAAUGAAGUAGCUCUAAGCUAUGAAAAUCUUUCCAUGAACAAGGAAUAAUAGAGAAACUGACAGUUAAGACAACACGAAGGGAAUUAAUGCAGAAGGAGAGGAAGUAUGAGAAAAUGUAUGGUGACUAGGCAAAAUAGAUCAAUGGAAGCAAAAUACAUCUGGAAUCUCCCACCUACAAUAAGAGAUGAGGAGAAAGAGCCUGAAAACCACAAAAAUACAACUCUUUUUUUCGGGAAGCAAAAAAUUAGUAAGAAAUAAUAAGAGAAAAAAAAAAAAGGUACCAAAAGGCAAGAAAAGACAUAAAUGCAUAUGACUGGGUAAUUCAGGAAAACAGUCCAAUACAUCUCCCACCUUACACCCCCCUAAAAUGGCAUCGUUUUGCUCCUGCCUGCAUAGCAGUACAAAAAAAGAGACAAGGCAAAGUAUCCUUUGAGACAGCUAUUUUGUCACCCAAUAAAAUAUUAUUCACUCCACCCAAUUUUAAGGAACCAGCUUG